CCUACGGGUGGCAGCAGUGAGGAAUAUUGGUCAAUGGACGAGAGUCUGAACCAGCCAAGUAGCGUGAAGGAUGACUGCCCUAUGGGUUGUAAACUUCUUUUAUAUGGGAAUAAAACGUUCCACGUGUGGGAUUUUGUAUGUACCAUAUGAAUAAGGAUCGGCUAACUCCGUGCCAGCAGCCGCGGUAAUACGGAGGAUCCGAGCGUUAUCCGGAUUUAUUGGGUUUAAAGGGAGCGUAGGCGGAUUGUUAAGUCAGUUGUGAAAGUUUGCGGCUCAACCGUAAAAUUGCAGUUGAAACUGGCAGUCUUGAGUACGGUAGAGGUGGGCGGAAUUCGUGGUGUAGCGGUGAAAUGCUUAGAUAUCACGAAGAACUCCGAUUGCGAAGGCAGUUCACUGGACUGCAACUGACACUGAGGCUCGAAAGUGUGGGUAUCAAACAGGAUUAGAUACCCUUGUAGUC
rnacentral:rRNA from 1 species